rnacentral:rRNA from 1 species
CCGUUUGUGUGACUAGCUACUGAAUCUUUGAUGUGUCAUCGAAGAUAACGUAAAGGAAAAUAAUGAUAUUACUUUACUAUUAGUGUCGUCCAAAUACUCGUGCCAGAAGACUCGGUAAGGCGAGAGACGCAAACGUUAUUCGUCUUGAUCAGGCGUAAAGGGUGUGUAGGCUGCUUUAAGUAUUUAUAUUAAGUUUACUAACAAUAAUAAAAUCUAACUUAGUUUAUGCUUCAAACAUUUGGAGUAAUUAAGCCAUGAUAGUUAGAGAUUAUUAGCGUUAUUAAUAUAACUCAAUUAAAGCUAGAAUCUAAAGGAGGUUAAAACAAUACUUAAGGUAGGAGUACUAACCGUAAAUAUUAAGUAGAGUGUUAAUGGCGAAGGCAUUUAUCCACUAAAGAUUGACGCUGAGAAACGAAAGUGAGGGCAGAAAAAAGGAUUAGAGACCCUUGUAUUCCUCACUGUCAACGAUGAAUGGUAGUUACUAGUUAGAAAUUAGCUAGAGGCGAUGUUAACACGAAAACCAUUCCGCCUUGUGAGUACAACUGCAAAGUUGAAAACAAAAAAAUUAGUCGGUUUCGGAGCAAACGAAGUGAAGCAUGUUAUUUAAUUCGAUAAAAUCCCGCA